rnacentral:rRNA from 1 species
CAGAGGUCCCGAGCGUUGUUCGGAUUCACUGGGCGUAAAGGGUGCGUAGGUGGUGAGGUAAGUCGGAUGUGAAAUCUCCGGGCUCAACCCGGAAAUGGCAUUGGAAACUACCUUGCUAGAGGAUUUGAGGGGGGAUUGGAAUACUUGGUGUAGCAGUGAAAUGCGUAGAUAUCAAGUGGAACACCAGUGGCGAAGGCGAAUCCCUGGAAAAUACCUGACACUGAGGCACGAAAGCUAGGGGAGCAAACAGGAUUAGAUACCCUGGUAGUCCUAGCCCUAAACGGUGCUUGCUAGCUGUAAGAGGAAUCGACCCCUCUUGUGGCGGAGCUAACGCGUUAAGCAAGCCGCCUGGGAAGUACGGUCGCAAGAUUA